CGUAUCACCCAAGACAACUUUACGGAGUUGACGAUUGACGGAGCGAAGCGACGUCAAAGCGUUCAUUAAAGUCGAGUUGGCUUAGGGAUACGUUCGUUGGGUAGGGGAGCGUUCUGUAAGCCUGUGAAGGUGUGUCGUGAGGCAUGCUGGAGGUAUCAGAAGUGCGAAUGCUGACAUAAGUAACGAUAAAGCGGGUGAAAAGCCCGCUCGCCGGAAGACCAAGGGUUCCUGUCCAACGUUAAUCGGGGCAGGGUGAGUCGACCCCUAAGGCGAGGCCGAAAGGCGUAGUCGAUGGGAAACGGGUUAAUAUUCCCGUACUUGGUGUUACUGCGAAGGGGGGACGGAGAAGGCUAUGUUGGCCGGGCGACGGUUGUCCCGGUUUAAGCGUGUAGGUGUGUGUUCCAGGUAAAUCCGGUUCACUUUAACACUGAGGCGUGAUGACGAGGCACUACGGUGCUGAAGCAACAAAUGCCCUGCUUCCAGGAAAAGCCUCUAAGCAUCAGGUAACAUCAAAUCGUACCCCAAACCGACACAGGUGGUCAGGUAGAGAAUACCAAGGCGCUUGAGAGAACUCGGGUGAAGGAACUAGGCAAAAUGGUGCCGUAACUUCGGGAGAAGGCACGCUGACACGUAGGUGAAGUGAUUUACUCAUGGAGCUGAAGUCAGUCGAAGAUACCAGCUGGCUGCAACUGUUUAUUAAAAACACAGCACUGUGCAAACACGAAAGUGGACGUAUACGGUGUGACGCCUGCCCGGUGCCGGAAGGUUAAUUGAUGGGGUCAGCGCAAGCGAAGCUCCUGAUCGAAGCCCCGGUAAACGGCGGCCGUAACUAUAACGGUCCUAAGGUAGCGAAAUUCCUUGUCGGGUAAGUUCCGACCUGCACGAAUGGCGUAAUGAUGGCCAGGCUGUCUCCACCCGAGACUCAGUGAAAUUGAACUCGCUGUGAAGAUGCAGUGUACCCGCGGCAAGACGGAAAGACCCCGUGAACCUUUACUAUAGCUUGACACUGAACAUUGAGCCUUGAUGUGUAGGAUAGGUGGGAGGCUUUGAAGUGUGGACGCCAGUCUGCAUGGAGCCGACCUUGAAAUACCACCCUUUAAUGUUUGAUGUUCUAACGUGGACCCGUGAUCCGGGUUGCGGACAGUGUCUGGUGGGUAGUUUGACUGGGGCGGUCUCCUCCUAAAGAGUAACGGAGGAGCACGAAGGUUGGCUAAUCCUGGUCGGACAUCAGGAGGUUAGUGCAAUGGCAUAAGCCAGCUUGACUGCGAGCGUGACGGCGCGAGCAGGUGCGAAAGCAGGUCAUAGUGAUCCGGUGGUUCUGAAUGGAAGGGCCAUCGCUCAACGGAUAAAAGGUACUCCGGGGAUAACAGGCUGAUACCGCCCAAGAGUUCAUAUCGACGGCGGUGUUUGGCACCUCGAUGUCGGCUCAUCACAUCCUGGGGCUGAAGUAGGUCCCAAGGGUAUGGCUGUUCGCCAUUUAAAGUGGUACGCGAGCUGGGUUUAGAACGUCGUGAGACAGUUCGGUCCCUAUCUGCCGUGGGCGCUGGAGAACUGAGGGGGGCUGCUCCUAGUACGAGAGGACCGGAGUGGACGCAUCACUGGUGUUCGGGUUGUCAUGCCAAUGGCACUGCCCGGUAGCUAAAUGCGGAAGAGAUAAGUGCUGAAAGCAUCUAAGCACGAAACUUGCCCCGA
rnacentral:rRNA from 1 species